CUACGGGGUGCACCAGUUUCGAAUAAUUCACAAUGGGCGCAAGCCUGAUGAUGCGACGUUACGUGAAGGAAGAAAGCUUUAAGUUGUAAACUUCUGUCGUUAAGGAACAGAAAAUUAAGUAGUACUUUUUAUAUUGAGUUAACUUAAGAAGGAAGCAGUGGCGUAAUUUCGUGCCAGCAGCCGCGGUAAUACGGGAACUGCAAGCGUUGCUCGGUUUUAUUGGGCGUAAAGAGUACGUAGGCUGUUAUAUAUGUUAAUUGUUAAAUUUUAAAGUUAAUCUUUAAAUUUGCUGUUAAAACUAUAUAACUAGAAUUUCAAAGAGGUAAGUGGAAUUUCAAGUGUAGCGGUGAAAUGCGUAGAUAUUUGAAGGAACACCAAUGGCGAAAGCAACUUACUGGGUGAUAAUUGACGCUAAAGUACGAAAGUAUAGGGAGCAAAAGGGAUUAGAUACCCGAGUAGUC
rnacentral:rRNA from 1 species